CCUACGGGAGGCAGCAGUGAGGAAUAUUGGACAAUGGGCGAGAGCCUGAUCCAGCCAUGCCGCGUGCAGGAAGACUGCCCUAUGGGUUGUAAACUGCUUUUACAGAGGAAGAACCACCCCCACGUGUGGGGGUUUGACGGUACUCUGCGAAUAAGGAUCGGCUAACUCCGUGCCAGCAGCCGCGGUAAUACGGAGGAUCCAAGCGUUAUCCGGAAUCAUUGGGUUUAAAGGGUCCGUAGGCGGGCAGUUAAGUCAGUGGUGAAAGUCUUCCGCUCAACGGGAGAACUGCCAUUGAUACUGAUUGUCUUGAGUUAUUAUGAAGUGGUUAGAAUGAGUAGUGUAGCGGUGAAAUGCAUAGAUAUUACUCAGAAUACCGAUUGCGAAGGCAGAUCACUAAUAAUAUACUGACGCUGAUGGACGAAAGCGUAGGUAGCGAACAG
rnacentral:rRNA from 1 species